rnacentral:tRNA from 1 species
CUCGCCGUAGUUCAAUGGACAGAACGGGCGCCUCCUAAGCGCCAGAUACAGGUUCGAUUCCUGUCGGCGGGACCA